UUAAAAUACUUUAAUGUAUUUAAUACCAUUCAUAGAAAUAACAAUAAAUAAAUGCCAUAAUCCGAGGACUGAACAGUAAAGACCUGUCAUAACAAAGUCUGUCUUUAAUAAUCUUUACAUCAGGUGCCCUUGAAAUUUAGGUAUAUGUUUGUACAGCUCAAUGCCAUCAAAGGUGGGGAAAUAAAUAGUGUGAAUUCAUAAUUCAUGAGAAAUGCUGCUGAAAAAUCAGUCCUUAAAUAGCAGAUGUGCUACAAUGUAUGUCAUUAAUAUCAUUUUUACAAUAUAUAAAGGGAAGACAUUUAUCAAUUUUGCUAACAUUUAAUUAUUAACUUUAUGUUGCAUUACCAAUGUAAUAAAAAUUUACAGUCAACAAAAUAUAUUUCUGAAAAGUCUAAAAAUAU